CGUAGGGUGCGAGCGUUAAUCGGAAUUACUGGGCGUAAAGCGUGCGCAGGCGGCGCGUUAAGACAGGUGUGAAAGCCCCGAGCUUAACUUGGGAAUUGCGCUUGUGACUGGCGUGCUGGAGUGUGGCAGAGGGAGGUGGAAUUCCACGUGUAGCAGUGAAAUGCGUAGAGAUGUGGAGGAACACCGAUGGCGAAGGCAGCCUCCUGGGCCAGCACUGACGCUCAUGCACGAAAGCGUGGGGAGCAAACAGGAUUAGAUACCCUGGUAGUCCACGCCCUAAACGAUGUCAACUGGUUGUUGGUCGGGGUUAAACCCAUUAGUAACGAAGCUAACGCGUGAAGUUGACCGCCUAGGGAGUACGGCCGCAAGGUU
rnacentral:rRNA from 1 species